AAAAAGCAACGUCGCUAUGGACGCUUGGCUGCCACAAGCCAGUUAUCCCUGUGGUAACUUUUCUGACACCUCUUACCAGAAACUAUCUGGAUUAAAAGGAUCGAUAGGCCAACGUUAUGUAUACGUGUAUACGUGUACGUAUAUUUGAUGAUGUUGGACUAGUGAUAAGACCGUCUUGCAGACGUUUAUAGGUGUGUGCUCUGUUUUCGAAUUAAGUAUCCUGAUCGACCAUUGUAACGGUAGAAAUGGAACUGGUACGUACUCGGGGAAUCCGACUGUCUAAUUAAAACAGAGGAGACAGAUGAUUCUUGCGAAGGUUUACUGUCUCUGAUUUCUGCCCAGUGCUCUGAAUGUUAAAUCGUAGUAAUUCGAGUAAGCGCGGGUAAACGGCGGUAGUAACUAUGACUCUCUUAAGGUAGCCAAAUGCCUCGUCAGCUAACUACUGACGCGCAUGAAUGGAUUAACGAGAUUCCCACUGUCACUAACUACUAUCUAGCGAAACCACAGCCAAGGGAACGGGCUUGGUAAAAAUAGCGGAGAAAGAAUACGUUGAGCUUUUCGUCGUUUUACCUGCAUAGACUA
rnacentral:ncRNA from 1 species